GCUUAACACAUGCAAGUCGAACGGCAGCACAGGGUAGCUUGCUAUCCGGGUGGCGAGUGGCGGACGGGUGAGUAACGCGUAGGAAUCUACCUUAUCGUGGGGGAUAACCCGGGGAAACCCGGGCUAAUACCGCAUACGCCCUACGGGGGAAAGCGGGGGACCUUCGGGCCUCGCGCGGAAAGAUGAGCCUGCGUCCUAUCAGGUAGUUGGUGAGGUAAUGGCUCACCAAGCCAACGACGGGUAGCUGGUCUGAGAGGACGACCAGCCACACUGGGACUGAGACACGGCCCAGACUCCUACGGGAGGCAGCAGUGGGGAAUAUUGGACAAUGGGGGCAACCCUGAUCCAGCAAUACCGCGUGUGUGAAGAAGGCCUUCGGGUUGUAAAGCACUUUUAGCAGGAAAGAAAGCCUGUGCGCUAAUACCGCAUGGUUUUGACGUUACCUGCAGAAAAAGCACCGGCUAACUCCGUGCCAGCAGCCGCGGUAAUAC
rnacentral:rRNA from 1 species